rnacentral:rRNA from 1 species
AGCAGCCGCCACGGGAAUACGGAGGGUGCAAGCGUUAAUCGGAAUUACUGGGCGUAAAGCGCACGCAGGCGGUUUGUUAAGUCAGAUGUGAAAUCCCCGAGCUUAACUUGGGAACUGCAUUUGAAACUGGCAAGCUAGAGUCUUGUAGAGGGGAGUAGAAUUCCAGGUGUAGCAGUGAAAUGCGUAGAGAUCUGGAGGAAUACCGGUGGCGAAGGCGGCCCCCUGGACAAAGACUGACGCUCAGGUGCGAAAGCAUGGGGAGCAAACAGGAUUAGAUACCCCAGUAGUCCCUGUCUCUUAUAC